GAAGACGUCAAGACGAUCGAGGCGGAUACAGACUGCUCGCUGUUAUCCUCAAAAACCUCACCAAGAUCUGUGUUGGACUGUAAUGUUGGCGAACACUUAGGCCUGUGUUAUCAGAGGACUUGCUAACAUGAAGAAAACGGUCCAGAGGUUCCACCUGAGAGCCGGGACUGUCAAAUAGUAAG